CUGCGGGUGGAGACUAAUCUGUAAAUACACUGGCCUCCAUUUUGAAUUCUCUCCUACAAACAAACACAGUUCAUGCUCUAGAAAAAGCCAGCAGGAGGUUAGUGUAUCCAGAGAAAAGACAAAGGGAACAGAGGAAGAAAGAACAAAGAGAGGGCAAGUCUUCCUGGAGCCACUGUUGUCCCUGGCAGUCACUAGGAAAGUCCUGUUCAACCCCUCAAGUCCUGGACUGGAGCAUGAAAAGAAACUUCAGAGAAUAUAGGCUAUCAACCUGAUAGGGUACUCUAGAAGUACAGGAGGACUUGAAGGAGCAUAUGAAGAUUAAUGGGAAAUCCAAAGCAACUGGAGAUGGAAUUCAAGCUCUUGAACAAACCAGGAAGAGAAUUAUGACUGAAGUUAAAAUUUAGGGAGAAGCGAAAACUCACAUAGAUACGAACCAGAGACUUGGCCACUUGAGAGCUCUUUUAUCCACCGUUUCCCGAAAGGAGGCCUUCCUUCCUUUAGUAUGCAUCAGAGCCUCAGAUCUAUCCAUGAUGCACUCAGAAUAAUUCAGAGAGGCGAGGCAAAAGUGACUUUAACAUUCUCUAGAGGCAUCUGCCUCUGUUGUGCCUGUGUUUAAAGAAAAUCCAGAUGGAGCUCUAGACAAUUUAAACAUACGUUUUUUCCUGUCAAAUUAUACAUGAUUAUAUCCAAGAAAUGUACACCGCAUUUUUGAGGUUUUAGGGCAAACCAUUUUUUUAAAAAAUGUGUUUUAAAACACAUUUGACUGGAAGGUACACGAUAUAUAGCGAGAUAGAUAUAUCUCAGAUCAGAUAAAUAGGGUCAGCUCCCAUUUAGGCAACAAACUAGGUAGCCAAAUUUUCAAAAGAGCUGAGUGUAAAUGGGAACUGAGCUCUUUUGAAAAUCUGGAAAAUUCAGCUCUUACUCCAGACCCUUUUUUAUUACUGUAGCAAGAGAGGAGAAGCAGCUUACCAUAGCUGUGUUUGACCUCAGACCAGACUAUCCAGCUAUCGCUUGUUGGCAAACUGAUGCAUGAGAAGCUAGGACAAUUUUACUUCUUAUGUAGAUAGAAAUAAAGAAACCCAUCUUUACACUGAUUCCUAGCCUCAUGCUUUUCCAGAAGAUAGUUUAUGUUGUUACUGAUUAUGAAUAUUGCUGCCUGACCUGCUUUAAUAAUCCAUGCCAUUAAUCAGUGCUGCUCACCUUCAGCUAUGUGCUUGUAUCUCUGUCGGCCAUCCAUGCCCAUAAAUAUCACCACUGUAUAUCACCAUACAAACCCCCAUAAAUCAAUGCUGCUAGUCCACCAGUUCUGAGAGAGGUUUGUUCUGAAAUCUAGCACUCGAUGUGGAUUUCAAAGGGCAAGUUCAGGUUAAAGCAGGAUAAACUCACAAAUUUACUAACUAGAAUAGCUGUGAAUUUCACUGUUACAGUAACUACAGCAUUCUUUAAGGAAGAAGACCCAGGACUGAAUCCAAAGCCCAUUGAAGUCAAUUGAGUUUUUCCAUUGAUUAAAUGGUCUUUGGAUUAGGUUCCUAGAAAGCUAUCCAUUGUGGGUGCUGUGAUCUUGAAAAUUUGGUGCCA